rnacentral:rRNA from 1 species
GAGUUUGAUCCUGGCUCAGGAUGAACGCUGGCGGCGUGCUUAACACAUGCAAGUCGAACGGAGUACCCUCGAAGGAGUUUUCGGACAACUGAGAGGACUACUUAGUGGCGGACGGGUGAGUAACGCGUGAGUAACCUGCCUUGGAGUGGGGAAUAACAGCUGGAAACAGCUGCUAAUACCGCAUGAUGCAGUUGGGCCGCAUGGCUCUGACUGCCAAAAGAUUUAUCGCUCUGAGAUGGACUCGCGUCUGAUUAGCUGGUUGGUGGGUAACGGCUCACCAAGGCGACGAUCAGUAGCCGGACUGAGAGGUUGGCCGGCCACAUUGGGACUGAGACACGGCCCAGACUCCUACGGGAGGCAGCAGUGGGAAUAUUGGCAAUGGCGCAAGCCUGA